rnacentral:rRNA from 1 species
UACGUAGGGGGCAAGCGUUGUCCGGAAUCAUUGGGCGUAAAGCGCGUGUAGGCGGCUCGGUAAGUCUGCUGUGAAAGCCCAGGGCUCAACCCUGGGAUGCCGGUGGAUACUGUCGAGCUCGAGUCCGGAAGAGGCGAGUGGAAUUCCUGGUGUAGCGGUGAAAUGCGCAGAUAUCAGGAGGAACACCAAUGGCGAAGGCAGCUCGCUGGGACGUGACUGACGCUGAGGAGCGAAAGCGUGGGGAGCGAACAGG